AAAAAUCCUUAUUGUUCUUGCAGUGCGCAUCGGGCGGCAGCCGCCAACCUACCCCUCGCCCACCUGGCCGCUCUGGGACGGGAAGGGCUUCCGGGGUCCGAUUGGGAUGUCCUCCCUCAUCCUCCUGAAAUGAGAGUCAGUGGGGACUUGCUGUUUAUUAAAACAAUUUUGUUGGGCCAACGCAUUGAUUUGCAUGUAUUUUUACAAUUUCUUUUUUGGUGAGGGCUGGGCAUCGAGACAUUCCUGCGCGGAUCAGAGCCCAGGAGAACACAGGGUCUCCGUGGUUUGUGUGUGGUGAAGGUCCGGAAGAGCAGGUGCAGGGCAGCUUCAGGGCCAGUUACGUCAAGAGCGGCAGUGUUUGGCUGGCCAGGAUGCCCUAGCGUUCCUGAGAAGCUGGAAGUGUUUAGGGGCAGCUGGGCAGAAACUUGCACGGUGUUUUAAAACAGAAGGUGCUGCAGUCCACUCUCUGAGACCCAGUGAGCUGGCCAUUUUGCAAAUACACUUGCAGUGGAUUCAAUGUCUUUCCCCCCACCGUGACCCUGGAGCUUGCUGUCUCUACCCCUAUUUCACCUUCUGGGACUCCUCCAUGCUCAGCAGGUGCCCCUACCUUUUCUGGUCCCACCCCACAGAUGUUUUAGCUGAGCCAAGGCCUUAUCUUGGGUGGACUUGGGAUUUCUGGGGGGUUGUCAAGAAGCAGAAGUACCAGUCUGUGACAUGCCCCCUUAACCCAAGAACACCAAUCCACAAGAAUAUCACCAAAUCCCACAGCAACGAAAUCUUCCUCUUAGCUGAGGCUGGGCAGGUGACCUGUCUGGGGAUGGACAGACUGGUAGGGGAACAGGCAGCAAGGAGUCCCAUUGCCCUCCCAGGGCAGCAGGGGGAAUUCAUCCUUGCGGUAUUUCUAAGGUUCCCAGGUGCUGACUCAUAAGCUCUCAUCACUCAAGAAGACGGCCAUGGCGUGUUUGGCAUUUGUAGGACCCUGACCACCACCGUCCUCUUCCCUGGCCAGCCCGGCCCCGUGCUCUGCAGACUCCAGCCGUCCUGCUGUCCCAGCUGUGCCUCCACACCAGCUGUCCCAGAGACAGUUUUUAAGGGGCUGGGUUUGCUCAGAAGCCUCAGCAUUCUGCCUAGGGGAAGGGACAGCUCCAAGGUAAAGUUUAACACGGGGACGGAGCGUGGUGAUGGUGAUGUUUAUCCCUUCUUGGUGAGAGGCGGGUGGGGCUCUCAUGAAAUGAGACUCUUACAACCUACAGUGGACACAGAGCGACACAGCACAUUCCAUCAUCCUUCAUCAGCUAAGCAUUUGCUAACUUCAAGUCAGCAGUCCCCCCUGGAGCCCCUUUGCCCUGCCCUUCGUCCCCACAAUCCUCCUUGUUCCUGAGUGUGUUCCUCAUUCUUUACCCCAAAACAUUUGCAGAAGACACUACAUCCGUUUAAAAAAAAGGCAAUACAUCAAAAAUAAAACUGAUUACUCUUUCUCCCCAAUUAUAAAAGAAUUGCCUCCCACUGUAGAGCAUUUCAGAAAUACAAAAGGAUGGAAAUGCCCGUACCUGGAGAUAAUGUCUGCUAAUGAAAUAGAUCCUUCCAGCAUUUUUUUCCCUAUGGGUGUACACCCACACCCAGUUAGCAGGAUUGGGACUUUUAAAAGGGGCGAGGCUCAAAACCCAUUUGAGCAAUGGCCCUGUGCCCUCUGGAGCCAGCAAGUCUCUAUUUUCUUUUUGCCAAGUAGGAUGUGCUGUGGGCUGCUGCUUCCAUCCAGGAAGCUCAGAGACCUCGGCGGGUGCUGGAGCAGCACUGGGUCUCUCUCUAAACCAAGACUAAUGAAGUUGUCUGGAGGAUGCUAGCAAUGUGGGCUCCAUCCUGGUUGAUUUCUAAGUGGACCGCUGCAUUGCUUCUCGACCCUGGUGGCACGUAAGAAUCACUUGGAGAGCGUUAAAAAAAAAUGUCAGUGCCUGGGCCCAACCCACCUAAGACCAAUUGGAUCUGAAUUGCUGGGGUUGGGGGAGCCCAGGGAUUGGUAUCUUUGUUUUUGUUUUCUUAUGUUGCUCAGAUGAUUCUAUUAGGCAGCCAGAGAACUAUCCAGCUCCAUGCGCGCAAGGUAGAUAAGGAAGAGAUUUCCUCCAGCUAGGCCUGCAGAGCCUGAUCGAGCAGAUGUGACCAUUGGCAGCUGGCAGACUUGCACUUCCAUUAUUUUCUCUUCUGCUCAGAGUCAUCAUUUAAUCCUCAUUUUAUAGACAGAGGACCGAGGCUAAGGAGAGCAGGAGACUUAUCAGAGGACACACAGCUAGGAUGUGGCAGAGCUGGGGUUUAGAUCAGCAGCUUCUGACUCCCAGGCCAGUGCUCCUUCAGUAACAAUUAUUAUUUAUAAUUAGCAUAUAGUUAGAACAAGCGUAUCGUAAUGCUUACUAAUACUGAAGCAUUUGGUCAUCGCAGUAUCCUGAGGUGGGCGGGUACUACUGUCUCUUGAAGGAGGUGUCUGCCCCUCUGGGAGGCUGGGUUAUCAUCCCUUAGGCUCCCCGAUGCUAAGUUGUACACCUGGCCAGCCUGGACCCCCGGCUUGCCCCCACUCAGCCUGCCAUGGGUCCCAGCUCUGGACAGGGCAGGUUCCAGCCCCAUUUUCAGAACAUGCAAGAGGUGUGGCCCAGAUCACACAGUUGGUGGGUGGCAGAGGUGUCCAGGAAGGAACACAGCCCUGCGUGGGGCUUACUCAUCUGGCCCUGCUCAGAGCUGGCAGUCCUAGAGGUCAGGAUCCCUCCUACGGAUGCCUCGGUCUCCAGAAGGCUGUCCCUGCCCUUCCCUCUUUCCUUCAGAACUCGACUACAGGAGCCUGGCCUGAGGGCAACCUGGGCAGGCUGCCAGCGCCGGGAACUGACGGGCAAGCGCAUUGUCAGCUCCAGGGAGCAGUCAGCUGUUUAUGGGCCUGUCUGCAGAGCUGGAGGGCCAGCCUGCCUUGGACACGAUGGGAGCUGGGAGACGAGAACACCACUUUCCCGGAGCCCCGCGGCUCUGGGCCAGGCCCACGGGCUUCCUUUGGCAGAGAGGGCCUGAGCCUUGGCCACGCCUUCCUUUUCUGGGCCUUGGCUCCCUCCUUAGUCUGGCUCUCGCCCCGCUCCCCACCCAGCUCUUUGCAGCAGAGUGCACACUCUUGGCAACAACAUCCUUGUAACCUGUUUGCCAGAAAACAGGAUGGUUGGGCAGGCAGACUCAGCCAGCACCUUGGUGGGAAACAGGGUGGUAGGCCUCAGCUCAGGCUUUUCUUGCCCAUAUUCCUCGGGGAGCUGGGCUGGGAGGUUGCUCUAGGCUGCUAGUUAAGCUGAGUUAUUUCUGAUCCAGGUAAGCCAGGGCAGGGCUAUCGGGCUGAGGUGAGAGCUUUGAGCUCCUCGAGUUGGUGGUGGUGGGGAGACAAGUCUUUGCCCAGGAGUCUGAUCAAGGGCAGUCACUUAGCUGGGGGCCUUGGGUAAAGCCUCCCACCCCUCUGUGCCUGUUGCCCCAUUGUUUCAUGGGCAUAAUAGUAUGCUGUAGGCAUGUGUCUGCUUUCCAGGUUUAUUCUGACUAUAGAUAUGAAAUUGUCGCCCCCUCUGCCUCCCCUUCCAGGAGGACACGGAGGACUCUGGGUGGUGUCUGCUUGGAGAAGAUGCUCAGUUAAUGCUAGUGGCACCGCACUGCUCAGGAAGCGAGGCAGAGUCUGUGACAUUGCAGAAAAGCAACCUUGGACCUUGAAUGAGUGUGGGGCCCGUCCCUGAUGGCCUGGCCACUGUGGAGGUGUCUGGAGGGGACCACCUCCUUCCCCCCGCCGGCCCUGGUUUUAGAAGCAGGCAUGUGGCCCAGGCUGGACACUGACAUUCCCCUUUGGGACUUUUGCAGCAACUAUGGGGAAAGAGGCAUUCGCUUUUCCUGGGAGUUGCUAGAUUGAAAGGAUAUAAGCUUGGAACUGCUGGUGACCAUCCAGUUUUCCACUUGAGGACGAAGCCAACGAAGAGGAAAGAGAGCUAAAAGAUGGAGAGAAUAUGCUGUCCAGACAUCAGUAAGCCCCUGGAUCCAGCCAUGCCUGAAGCUAGCUGCAUCCCUGGACUAACCUGAUUAUGUGAGCCAAUGCAUUUCUUUUUUUCUAAAACUAUCCUGAGUUGGGUUUCUGCCAUACAAAGGGUCUUAAUAAAGGCAAUGUUUUUCUUUGGUUUCAUCUUAAAAAAUCAAGUUUGAGGUAUACUUUACAUGCAAUAAAAUCCAUUUUAAAGUGUCCAACUAAUAAAUUAUGUCAAAUGUAUACACCCUUGUAGCUAACACCACAGUUGAGAUGUAGAAUGUUUCAAGUUCUCUCAUUGCCCCUUAUGGUCAAUUCCCCCAACCUCAGAGCCUUUGGUCUAGAGAGUCAUUUUGCCUUUUCUAGAAUUUCAUAUAAUUAUUAUCACAUAGUGUGCACUCUUUUGUGUCUGUCUUCUUUUAUUCAGCAUGUUUUUGAGAUUCAUCCAUGUUAUGUGCAUUAGUAGUUCAUUCCUUUUUAUUGCUGAGUGGUGUUCCAUUAUAUGGAUGUGCCACAGUUUAUCCAUUUAUUAGAUGAUGGACAUUUGGGCUAUUUCCAGAUUUUGGCUA